CCGGGGACCAAGGGACAUGUUGAACAUCACCAAGGGAAUGUAACCAGCAAAAUCUAGAAGGAAGAACCAAAGGUCCCUGAGGAAAUAACUUAGCCAAAUUAAACUGCUGGGGCAUGCUGCAGUGCUGUUGAGUUUACGUGUCUUUUGAGAAGGAAGCACCAAAGAAAUGACGCAACCUGCAUUCACUGAGCCAUAGGGGCAGACUGUGAUCAGCACCAGAGAGAGGUAGGAACAAAGAUGUCUCGAAAAUCUUAAAAGGACACAUAGACCUAGUUGUUCCAUUACCCAUAGGUUUUUAAAAUUAUAAGGUACAUUCGAAAUCCUUUAGUCCAAACCUUGCCAAGGACCUUUCUGCAUAUUAACAGCAGAGCUAGAAUCUCUGUCUAUUAUUAUUUCUCCACUUCAAAUUUUUAAACUUCUUGCUCCAGUCCUCAAUUUCCAGACAUCUGGCCACUCACAUCUAUUCUCCAUAGCUCUAUCCUGACUUCUAUCCCAAAUAAGAGCAGAGUCUCCUCCUAGACAUCUCCAAUGAUUUCCUAAUUUUUAAAUAUAUUAUCUUCUUUUCAACGUCUUUUUUUGGUAAAUUCUUUUAGCAAUUGUGAUAGUUAAUUUUAUGUGUCAACUUGACUGGAUCACAGGUUGCUGAGAUAGCUGAUUAAAUAUUAUACGGGUGUGUCUGUGAGGGUGUUUCCAAAAGAAAUUAGCAUUUGAAGCAGUAGAUUAAGAAAAGCAUAUGGCCCUCCCAAAUGUGGGUGGGCAUUAUCCAACCCACUGAGGGCCUGAAUAGAACAAAAAGAUGGAGGAAGGGGGGACUUGUUGGCUCUCUGCCUGACUGCUUAGGGAAAAUACCAAUCUUCUCCUACAUUCUGUACUCUUGGUUCUUAGGCUAUCAGACUAGGACUGGAAUGUACACCAUCAGCUCUCCUCUCUCACUCUUAGCCCUUAGAACUACAUCACCUUCCUGGGUCUCCAGUCUGUAGAUGGCAUAUCAUGGGACUUCUCAGCCUCCAUAAUUGCAAGAGCCAAAGUAUACCAAUACCUUUGCACUGCAUGGGUGGCAACUGUGAGGAAAGCCAGGUAGAUUACCUCUUUACAAAAGAAAGGUAGUGGGUAUUUUAGGUGAGUGACUUUUUGUGUGUAUGUGUGAGGAAGAUCACCCUGAGCUAACAUCUGUGCCAAUCUUCCUCUACUUUGUAUGUGGG